AACGGACGUUGACUGGAUGUCUAUGGCCUAUAAAGAUCAAUGAAGAAAUUCCAAAACGUCCAUGUAGCAAAUGGGAUACUCGUUUCAAGUCCCUCAAGAAGGCUUUGCUUUAAACUUUCGUACUUUUUAAACUUAGAUACGAUGACCUCCAAUAGUCUGACAGUGCUUUUCAUCUGUAUGAUGAUGAUACUAUCCUCAAGUAGUCCUGCUUAUAAGGUGAAUUGCAACAAUCAUGACCUAAAUAAACAAGGUUUAUGGAAAGCUCCAGAAACUAAAAAUCCAUUGGAUCAAUUCCAAAAUGCACAAUGUCACAUGAAAAACAAGAAAUUGGAAUGCGCUGAUGCUGGACGUAAACCUAUAGAUUGUGGAAAACAUAACUGUGGUUUUAACCAACCUUUGGGGAAGGUGACACAUGUAACAUUACUGCAGGU
ensembl:lncRNA